rnacentral:rRNA from 1 species
GACGAACGCUGGCGGCGUGCUUAACACAUGCAAGUCGAACGAAGUGGCGAACGGGUGAGUAACGCGUAAUCAACCUGCUCUUCAGAGGGGGACAACAGUUGGCAACGACUGCUAAUACCGCAUACUGAAGGAGGGGAUUGCGUCUGAUUAGCUAGUUGGGGGGGUAACGGCCCACCAAGGCGAUGAUCAGUAGCCGGGCUGGGAGGGUGGACGGCCACAUUGGGACUGGGACACGGCCCAGACUCCUACGGGAGGGAGCAGUGGGGAAUCUUCCGCAAUGGACGAAAGGCUGACGGAGCAACGCCGCGGGGGUGAUGACGGCCUUCGGGUUGUAAAGCUCUGUUAAGCGGGACGCGGUACCGGAAUAGAAAGCCACGGCUAACUACGUGCCAGCAGCCGCGGUAAUAC